rnacentral:rRNA from 1 species
GACGAACGCUGGCGGCGCGCUUAACACAUGCAAGUCGAACGGAAAGGCCUGCUUUCCCUUGUGGAUUGCGGGUACUCGAGUGGCGAACGGGUGAGUAACACGUGAGUGAUCUGCCCCCAACUUGGUUAUAAGCCUGGGAAACUGGGUCUAAUUCCCGAUAGGACUGCAGGGUGGUGCCUGUGGUGGAAAACGAUUUUCUAGUGGUUGGGGAUGAGCUCGCGGCCUAUCAGCUUGUUGGUGGGGUAAUGGCCUACCAAGGCGGCGACGGGUAGCCGGCCUGAGAGGGUGGACGGCCACAUUGGGACUGAGAUACGGCCCAGACUCCUACGGGAGGCAGCAGUGGGGAAUAUUACACAAUGGGCGGAAGCCUGAUGCAGCGACGCCGCGUGGGGGAUGACGGCCUUCGGGUUGUAAACUCCUUUCGACCGCGAGGAAGCCACCUGGUUGGAAGGGUGGUGACGGUAGUGGUAGAAGAAGCACCGGCUAACUACGUG